rnacentral:lncRNA from 1 species
UGAUUUUUGUGACAUUAUUUACUUUGAUCAAUCUCUUUCUUAGUCAAAACUCUUCCUUAUGUGAGAGUCCAUUCAAAUGCAGUGAUGCAGAGGCCAGUACUGUAGUUGAAGCUGCUGCAGAAUAUGGGGAACCCCUCCCAGUACCAUCUGAAGGUAAAAUUGUAUUUAAUGUUUUUCAAUACUUUUACAAGUUACAUGACUUUGUUAACUUCGUUUCUAUUUUGCAGUGGACAAAUGGGUCUUCUUCACAAAGUAAAAGAUCAUUAACUCUUUGCAGUGUGAUCUCAGAAGAAGGUAGAAAAGGCCAGAAGAAUGCCAGAAGUCAGUAAUGUCCCUGGUGCAAAGAUUUUUGUUUUAUUAAUGUUUUAUUUUUUAAAACAUUGCUUUAUUUAUUAGAACAAGACACACACACACACACACCCCUCUCAUUCAUUUGGUGAAAUUACCAAGUUAUUUUUGCAGUAACAUUGGUGAACGUGUUUCUGAACUUCAAAUGCACGUGUUUCAGUGCCAAAGAUCAUGUUCAUACUUUAAAGGUUGAAUAGUUAAUCUCUAAAACCUGAGUUUUUUUUUUCUUCUUCAGACUUUUACAGUGCCUUUUCGUGUGUGUGUGUUUGUUUUGUUUAUUUCUAUUUAUACACCUAUUCUGACAAGUCCUUUAGGAACAAGUGAGCAAGUUUAAGCUUAGGUACAAGGUUAAGAAAACUUUGCUUUGUAAUUACUGCCAUUAGGAACCAAUAUACAUUGGGUAUUAGGACAAGAAGAGUUCGUCUUCGCAAGAUGACCAAGAAAUCAAACUCUGUAGCAAGAAUGUGAAGUUCCAUGCCUGAUGUAAAAAAGAAAUAAUACUCUACUUUUUUCCCUGGAAUGUGUACCAUCUGAAUCAAGUACUAGUAUACAGGAAAUAAACUCGGAUCAAUCUUUUUUGUUUUCCAUGAUAAUAUAUUUACACAAUUAAAAGUGUUU